CUUAAGGCUGAUGGAUAAUUGUCUCUUUGGCAAGCAUACCACAUCUUAUUAUUAUAUUCUAUACAAAUUUUGUGAUACAGAGCAAAGUGUGGUGUCCAUUUUAGCUGAACUAGUACACAUUUUUGUUUGAGUGGCCAGCUGAAGCCUGCCUACAGAUGAGGGAUUUUCUUGCUGUGUUGAAGACCCAUUGGUGGCCUUGGGCUGUUUUCUGCUCUAUGAUUAUGUUAUAACAUUCACUAUUUCCAAGCUCAAUUUUAUUUUAUGCAAGUCCUUUAACAUUUUAUUUUGUUUAUGAUGUAUUUUGGCCAGUUAACACAAUCUGUAGAAAAAUGUGUCAAAUUCUAUUAUAUCCUAUCCACUACUUCAACCUACUGUGGAUUCAUUUAUUUUCGUGGGUACUUAGUUUCACAGAUUAAGGAAAACUUACAUGUUUGUUGGUACCCGGUAUCUAAAACUGAUGCGGGACAUAUUUUGAACAAAUGCACCCAUGAAGUCCACAAAAAUUAAUGAAUCCACAGUAACUGAUACCCAUAAUGUUUAAUCAUAAAUGUGAAGUCAAAAUGAAAGAUUUAUAUUUAAUGAUUUUUUUUCUUCAUUUUUUUUUUACAUAUGAAAAUUUACAAUAUAUAAGA